GAAGAAGGGAAAGUUGUGAGGAAACAAGUGUGAUAAGAUGGUGUCCCCGAUGUCAACGAUUCUGGUGACGGGUGGGGCGGGCUUCAUCGGAUCCCACACGGUGCUUCAGCUUCUCAAGCAGGGUUUCCGGGUUACCAUAAUCGACAACCUCGACAACUCCGUCAUCGAAGCCGUUCACAGGGUUCGCCGUCUUGUCGGUCCUCACCUUUCCAACAACCUCACCUUCUGCCACGGCGACCUCCGCAAUCCCAACGAUUUGGAGCCACUCUUCUCCCAGACCA
rnacentral:lncRNA from 1 species